GGGGUUGGGAUCAGCCCCGGGAGCCUCUACCGGCGCCUGGCCACCGUCCACACCUCCAGGAUGAUCAACAAAUACAAACGGAGGCGAUUCCAGAAAACCAAAAAUCUCCUGACGGGAGAGACGGAGGCGGAUCCCGAAAUGAUCAAGAGAGCCGAGGAUUUCGGGCCGGUCGAGGUCAUUUCCCACUGGCACCCGAACCUGACCAUCAACAUGGUGGAUGACCACA